rnacentral:rRNA from 1 species
AAGCGUACACGGUGGAUGCCCUGGCAGUCAGAGGCGAUGAAGGACGUGCUAAUCUGCGAUAAGCGUCGGUGAGGUGAUAUGAACCGUUAUAACCGGCGAUUUCCGAAUGGGGAAACCCAGUGUGUUUCGACACACUAUCAUUAACUGAAUCCAU